CAAACAAAGUACGCAGCAGUUGUUUCUCAGCCCCAGAAAAUGGGAAACGGCCUGUUUUUGCAUCCAACCAAGAUCUGCACACAAGCUCUCACAUGGAGCUGGAGGCUGCGUUUAAUUUACUCUGGUUCCUUCGUGUAAAAACAGCUCUCUGGUGAUUUUGCAUGAAAGAACGAGUACUGGUUGGGUGAAAAACGUGGCCCUUUGAUGCAGCCCCUCGAGACUGGAAAUGAGAAAGACCACCACGGUGUACCCGAGGGAGAAGGGAAACAGCUUGUAACUGAGAACCUCCAACAUGGCGACACAUAAAAAUACCAACCUUUGAUCACAACUCUGAAUCUGUCAUGUAAUAUGUUCACCUGCAGCUUAUCUCUUACAAAUGUGGUUAGUCAUAAAGCUGAAAGCAAGAAGUUCUUGUGAGAACUGAAAAAAGUCCCAUGCAUUCUGCAGAUACUUUAAAGCUAAAGGGGAAACAACAGAAAGAGUCCGAGUGGAAAUAAUAAUAAACACAUUGAUGAUUCCA